GACGAACGCUGGCGGCGUGCCUAAUACAUGCAAGUAGGACGCAGUUGCGAACGGGUGAGUAACGCGUAGGUAACUACCUAUUAGAGGGGGAUAACUAUUGGAAACGAUAGCUAAUACUGCAUACUAGUAGAUGGACCUGCGUUGUAUUAGCUAGUAGGUAGGGUAAUGGCCUACCUAGGCAACGAUACAUAGCCGAGCUGGGCGGGGUGUUGGCCAAACUGGGAGUGGGACACGGGCCAGAAUCCCACGGGAGGGAGGAGUAGGGAAUGUUCGGCAAUGGGGGGAAACCUGACCGAGCAAAGCCGCGGGGGUGAAGAAGGUUUUCGGGGCGGAAAGCGAUGUUGUUAGGGAAGCGGUACUUAACCAGAAAGGGACGGCUAACUACGUGCCAGCAGCCGCGGUAAUAC
rnacentral:rRNA from 1 species